rnacentral:snRNA from 1 species
AUAUCAGCUAAAUGUACUAAAAUUGGAAUGAUACAGAGAAGAUAAACAUGGACCUUAGGCAAGGAUGACACACAAAUUCAUCAAGCAUUUUAUAUGUUU